CGAACGCUGGCGGCGUGCUUAACACAUGCAAGUCGAACGGAAAGGCCCUGCUUUUGUGGGGUGCUCGAGUGGCGAACGGGUGAGUAACACGUGAGUAACCUGCCCUUGACUUUGGGAUAACUUCAGGAAACUGGGGCUAAUACCGGAUAGGAGCUCCUGCUGCAUGGUGGGUGUUGGAAAGUUUCGGCGGUUGGGGAUGGACUCGCGGCUUAUCAGCUUGUUGGUGGGGUAGUGGCUUACCAAGGCUUUGACGGGUAGCCGGCCUGAGAGGGUGACCGGCCACAUUGGGACUGAGAUACGGCCCAGACUCCUACGGGAGGCAGCAGUGGGGAAUAUUGCACAAUGGGCGGAAGCCUGAUGCAGCAACGCCGCGUGCGGGAUGACGGCCUUCGGGUUGUAAACCGCUUUCGCCUGUGACGAAGCGUGAGUGACGGUAAUGGGUAAAGAAGCACCGGCUAACUACGUG
rnacentral:rRNA from 1 species